rnacentral:rRNA from 1 species
GACGAACGCUGGCGGCGUGCUUAACACAUGCAAGUCGAACGGAAAGGCCCUGCUUUUGUGGGGUGCUCGAGUGGCGAACGGGUGAGUAACACGUGAGUAACCUGCCCUUGACUUUGGGAUAACUUCAGGAAACUGGGGCUAAUACCGGAUAGGAGCUCCUGCUGCAUGGUGGGGGUUGGAAAGUUUCGGCGGUUGGGGAUGGACUCGCGGCUUAUCAGCUUGUUGGUGGGGUAGUGGCUUACCAAGGCUUUGACGGGUAGCCGGCCUGAGGGGGUGACCGGGCACCAUGGGAUUGGUGGAGGGGCCGGGAUCCAACGGGGAGAAGGAGUGGGGGAUAUGGCGACAGGGGGGGAAGGCCGAAGCAGUAACGCCGGGGUACGGGUAACGGCCCUGGGGGUGGAAACCGCUUUCGCCUGUGACGAAGCGUGAGUGACGGUAAUGGGUAAAGAAGCACCGGCUAACUACGUG